rnacentral:lncRNA from 1 species
UUAAAAAGGCGGCAGGAAUAGGAGCAUCCAUACGGUCACGCAAUUAGAACCCCGCCGUGAGAUGCGUCGGUGGCUGUGAGGCAGGUGGGACAUGCCUGGGAGGCUGAAAGGGCUUCCGGACGCAAAAAUCGCACCAGGCGCCGUCGUACGCCGGACCAACGGUGCAUCAUAACAUAACUAAUUGUUAGAAAGGCGGCAGGAAUAGGAGCAUCCAUACGCGCAAGCAAUUAGAACCCCGCCGUGAGAUGCGUCGGGGGCUGUGAGGCAGGUGGGGACAUGCCUGGAGGCUGAAAGGGCUUCCGGACGCAUAAAUCGCACCAGGCGCCGUCGUACGCCGGACCAACGAUGCAUCAUAACAUCAACUAGUUGCCAGAAAAGCGGCGGGGAACGCGUCUUCACGCUCGCUAGCCAACCAUCAUGGGGAAGGGAUGUAAGACCAUCCUCUGGGAUGGGUCGAACUACUCCCACUGGCUCGGCGAGUUAGGCGAUUUCCUCGCAACGUCCA